GCCCGCGUAGCUCAGUUGGUAGAGCACCUCCAUGGUAAGGAGGGGGUCAGCAGUUCGAUUCUGCUCGUGGGCUCCA
rnacentral:tRNA from 1 species